UACGAAGGGGGGCUAGCGUUGCUCGGAAUCACUGGGCGUAAAGGGUGCGUAGGCGGGUCUUUUAAGUCAGGGGUGAAAUCCUGGAGCUCAACUCCAGAACUGCCUUUGAUACUGAGGAUCUUGAGUUCGGGAGAGGUGAGUGGAACUGCGAGUGUAGAGGUGAAAAUUCGUAGAUAUUCGCAAGAACACCAGUGGCGAAGGCGGCUCACUGGCCCCGAUACUGACGCUGAGGCACGAAAAGCGUGGGGGAGCAAACAGGG
rnacentral:rRNA from 1 species